UGCAGGAUCUGACAGAAACGCUUCCGACCCAUGGAGUAGAUCCGACAGUUCUUCCCUGGUUUCAGCUCUGUCCCGCUCUGAUUCAGAGAUGAAAGAAGACAAAGAACUUUGUGCCUUACCACAUGACUUCAGCAUCCUCUCUGGAGACGUGGCAGAACAGCACCACCGGGUCCAGCUCCAUGCUGCUCUUAUGGAGCUCCUCCUCUGGGACUUGACUGAACUCCACAGGGGGACCUGAAAAAAAAAAAAAGGGAUGAGAGAGAGAUCGAUGUCAACAGCUGGAACACAAGUUAUUUCCUCACCCAGAUGGACGGCUUUGGGAAACUCCACAUGACCACUUCGUCCGUACUUGUUGAUGCAACAGACUCGGAAGCGGUAGUCGCCUUCAC